AGCAGUGUGGCUUAGUGGAAAAAGCACAGGCUUGGGAUUCAGAGGAUCUGGUUUCUAAUCCCGGCUCUGCCA
rnacentral:tRNA from 1 species